AGCCCAGAGCCUGAAUCAGUGUGUGUGUUAGUGGAAGCGUCUGGAAAGGCGCGCGAUACAGGGUGACAGCCCCGUACACAAAAAUGCACAUGCUGUGAGCUCGAUGAGUAGGGCGGGACACGUGGUAUCCUGUCUGAAUAUGGGGGGACCAUCCUCCAAGGCUAAAUACUCCUGACUGACCGAUAGUGAACCAGUACCGUGAGGGAAAGGCGAAAAGAACCCCGGCGAGGGGAGUGAAAAAGAACCUGAAACCGUGUACGUACAAGCAGUGGGAGCACGCUUAGGCGUGUGACUGCGUACCUUUUGUAUAAUGGGUCAGCGACUUAUAUUCUGUAGCAAGGUUAACCGAAUAGGGGAGCCGAAGGGAAACCGAGUCUUAACUGGGCGUUAAGUUGCAGGGUAUAGACCCGAAACCCGGUGAUCUAGCCAUGGGCAGGUUGAAGGUUGGGUAACACUAACUGGAGGACCGAACCGACUAAUGUUGAAAAAUUAGCGGAUGACUUGUGGCUGGGGGUGAAAGGCCAAUCAAACCGGGAGAUAGCUGGUUCUCCCCGAAAGCUAUUUAGGUAGCGCCUCGUGAAUUCAUCUCCGGGGGUAGAGCACUGUUUCGGCAAGGGGGUCAUCCCGACUUACCAACCCGAUGCAAACUGCGAAUACCGGAGAAUGUUAUCACGGGAGACACACGGCGGGUGCUAACGUCCGUCGUGAAGAGGGAAACAACCCAGACCGCCAGCUAAGGUCCCAAAGUCAUGGUUAAGUGGGAAACGAUGUGGGAAGGCCCAGACAGCCAGGAUGUUGGCUUAGAAGCAGCCAUCAUUUAAAGAAAGCGUAAUAGCUCACUGGUCGAGUCGGCCUGCGCGGAAGAUGUAACGGGGCUAAACCAUGCACCGAAGCUGCGGCAGCGACGCUUAUGCGUUGUUGGGUAGGGGAGCGUUCUGUAAGCCUGCGAAGGUGUGCUGUGAGGCAUGCUGGAGGUAUCAGAAGUGCGAAUGCUGACAUAAGUAACGAUAAAGCGGGUGAAAAGCCCGCUCGCCGGAAGACCAAGGGUUCCUGUCCAACGUUAAUCGGGGCAGGGUGAGUCGACCCCUAAGGCGAGGCCGAAAGGCGUAGUCGAUGGGAAACAGGUUAAUAUUCCUGUACUUGGUGUUACUGCGAAGGGGGGACGGAGAAGGCUAUGUUGGCCGGGCGACGGUUGUCCCGGUUUAAGCGUGUAGGCUGGUUUUCCAGGCAAAUCCGGAAAAUCAAGGCUGAGGCGUGAUGACGAGGCACUACGGUGCUGAAGCAACAAAUGCCCUGCUUCCAGGAAAAGCCUCUAAGCAUCAGGUAACAUCAAAUCGUACCCCAAACCGACACAGGUGGUCAGGUAGAGAAUACCAAGGCGCUUGAGAGAACUCGGGUGAAGGAACUAGGCAAAAUGGUGCCGUAACUUCGGGAGAAGGCACGCUGAUAUGUAGGUGAAGCGACUUGCUCGUGGAGCUGAAAUCAGUCGAAGAUACCAGCUGGCUGCAACUGUUUAUUAAAAACACAGCACUGUGCAAACACGAAAGUGGACGUAUACGGUGUGACGCCUGCCCGGUGCCGGAAGGUUAAUUGAUGGGGUCAGCGCAAGCGAAGCUCUUGAUCGAAGCCCCGGUAAACGGCGGCCGUAACUAUAACGGUCCUAAGGUAGCGAAAUUCCUUGUCGGGUAAGUUCCGACCUGCACGAAUGGCGUAAUGAUGGCCAGGCUGUCUCCACCCGAGACUCAGUGAAAUUGAACUCGCUGUGAAGAUGCAGUGUACCCGCGGCAAGACGGAAAGACCCCGUGAACCUUUACUAUAGCUUGACACUGAACAUUGAGCCUUGAUGUGUAGGAUAGGUGGGAGGCUUUGAAGUGUGGACGCCAGUCUGCAUGGAGCCGACCUUGAAAUACCACCCUUUAAUGUUUGAUGUUCUAACGUUGACCCGUAAUCCGGGUUGCGGACAGUGUCUGGUGGGUAGUUUGACUGGGGCGGUCUCCUCCUAAAGAGUAACGGAGGAGCACGAAGGUUGGCUAAUCCUGGUCGGACAUCAGGAGGUUAGUGCAAUGGCAUAAGCCAGCUUGACUGCGAGCGUGACGGCGCGAGCAGGUGCGAAAGCAGGUCAUAGUGAUCCGGUGGUUCUGAAUGGAAGGGCCAUCGCUCAACGGAUAAAAGGUACUCCGGGGAUAACAGGCUGAUACCGCCCAAGAGUUCAUAUCGACGGCGGUGUUUGGCACCUCGAUGUCGGCUCAUCACAUCCUGGGGCUGAAGUAGGUCCCAAGGGUAUGGCUGUUCGCCAUUUAAAGUGGUACGCGAGCUGGGUUUAGAACGUCGUGAGACAGUUCGGUCCCUAUCUGCCGUGGGCGCUGGAGAACUGAGGGGGGCUGCUCCUAGUACGAGAGGACCGGAGUGGACGCAUCACUGGUGUUCGGGUUGUCAUGCCAAUGGCACUGCCCGGUAGCUAAAUGCGGAAGAGAUAAGUGCUGAAAGCAUCUAAGCACGAAACUUGCCCCGAGAUGAGUUCUCCCUGACCCUUUAAGGGUCCUGAAGGAACGUUGAAGACGACGACGUUGAUAGGCCGGGUGUGUAAGCGCAGCGAUGCGUUGAGCUAACCGGUACUAAUGAACCGUGAGGCUUAACCUU
rnacentral:rRNA from 1 species